AAAGCGUGCGCAGGCGGUUUUGUAAGUCUGUCGUGAAAUCCCCGGGCUCAACCUGGGAAUGGCGAUGGAGACUGCAAGGCUAGAGUUUGGCAGAGGGGGGUAGAAUUCCACGUGUAGCAGUGAAAUGCGUAGAGAUGUGGAGGAACACCGAUGGCGAAGGCAGCCCCCUGGGUCAAAACUGACGCUCAUGCACGAAAGCGUGGGGAGCAAACAGGAUUAGAUACCCUUGU
rnacentral:rRNA from 1 species